UACGUAGGGUGCAAGCGUUAAUCGGAAUUACUGGGCGUAAAGCGUGCGCAGGCGGUGAUGUAAGACAGUUGUGAAAUCCCCGGGCUCAACCUGGGAACUGCAUCUGUGACUGCAUUGCUGGAGUGCGGCAGAGGGGAUGGAAUUCCGCGUGUAGCAGUGAAAUGCGUAGAUAUGCGGAGGAACACCGAUGGCGAAGGCAAUCCCCUGGGCCUGCACUGACGCUCAUGCACGAAAGCGUGGGGAGCAAACAGG
rnacentral:rRNA from 1 species